rnacentral:lncRNA from 1 species
GGAGUUGACAGAUAAAGACAAGGCUUGGGGGUAUUUCCAAUGAUGUGCUUGGAGCUGGAGUUGAACCAGCGGCCUUAGAAUCACAGCGUUUUACACAAGGAGCAUCUUACAGUCCACAGCUCUACCAACUGAGCUAUCAAGGUGCUCUCUAGUCACAAGUGCAGACAACAUAGUGGCUUCGAAGACACACUAUGCCCACAGAACUAUUCCAACCCAUGGUCAAUGAAAAGCCCAGCCCUACCUGCAGAACAAAGCUUUGCAGUUUGUACCCAACAGUCAUUGCCAGGGACCCAGAACUGAUAAUCAGGACUUUUAGGCUGGGUGAAUAAAAAAUUGAUGGUUGAAAAUUUAAGAAAGAGUUAUCUUGUUUGUGUUUUGACAUUUUGGAGGAGUUGACAGAUAAAGACAAGGCUUGGGGGUAUUUCCAAUGACAAGGAGGCGCUUGGAGCUGGAGUUGAACCAGCGACCUUAGGAUCACAGCGUUUCACACAAGGAGCAUCUUACAGUCCACCGCUCUACCAACUGAGCUAUCAAGGUGCUCUCUAGUCACAAGUGCAGAAAACAUAGUGGCUUCGAAGACACACUAUGCCCACAGAACUAUUCCAACCCAUGGUCAAUGAAAAGCCCAGCCCUACCUGCAGAACAAAGCUUUGCAGUUUGUACCCAACAGUCAUUGCCAGGGACCCAGAACUGAUAAUCAGGACUUUUAGGCUGGGUGAAUAAAAAAUUGAUGGUUGAAAAUUUAAGAAAGAGUUAUCUUGUUUGUGUUUUGACAUUUUGGAGGAGUUGACAGAUAAAGACAAGGCUUGGGGGUAUUUCCAAUGACGUGCUUGGAGCUGGAGUUGAACCAGCGACCUUAGGAUCACAGCGUUUCACACAAGGAGCAUCUUACAGUCCACCGCUCUACCAACUGAGCUAUCAAGGUGCUCUCUAGUCACAAGUGCAGAAAACAUAGUGGCUUCGAAGACACACUAUGCCCACAGAACUAUUCCAACCCAUGGUCAAUGAAAAGCCCAGCCCUACCUGCAGAACAAAGCUUUGCAGUUUGUACCCAACAGUCAUUGCCAGGGACCCAGAACUGAUAAUCAGGACUUUUAGGCUGGGUGAAUAAAAAAUUGAUGGUUGAAAAUUUAAGACAGAGUUAUCUUGUUUGUGUUUUGACAUUUUGGAGGAGUUGACAGAUAAAGACAAGGCUUGGGGGUAUUUCCAAUGACGUGCUUGGAGCUGGAGUUGAACAAGCGACCUUAGGAUCACAGCGUUUCACAAAAGGAGCAUCUUACAGUCCACCGCUCUACCAACCGAGCUAUCAAGGUGCUCUCUAGUCACAAGUGCAGAAAACAUAGUGGCUUCGAAGACACACUAUGCCCACAGAACUAUUCCAACCCAUGGUCAAUGAAAAGCCCAGCCCUACCUGCAGAACAAAGCUUUGCAGUUUGUACCCAACAGUCAUUGCCAGGGACCCAGAACUGAUAAUCAGGACUUUUAGGCUGGGUGAAUAAAAAAUUGAUGGUUGAAAAUUUAAGAAAGAGUUAUCUUGUUUGUGUUUUGACAUUUUGGAGGAGUUGACAGAUAAAGACAAGGCUUGGGGGUAUUUCCAAUGACAAGGAAGUGCUUGGAGCUGGAGUUGAACCAGCGACCUUAGGAUCACAGCGUUUCACACAAGGAGCAUCUUACAGUCCACCGCUCUACCAACUGAGCUAUCAAGGUGCUCUCUAGUCACAAGUGCAGAAAACAUAGUGGCUUCGAAGACACACUAUGCCCACAGAACUAUUCCAACCCAUGGUCAAUGAAAAGCCCAGCCCUACCUGCAGAACAAAGCUUUGCAGUUUGUACCCAACAGUCAUUGCCAGGGACCCAGAACUGAUAAUCAGGACUUUUAGGCUGGGUGAAUAAAAAAUUGAUGGUUGAAAAUUUAAGAAAGAGUUAUCUUGUUUGUGUUUUGACAUUUUGGAGGAGUUGACAGAUAAAGACAAGGCUUGGGGGUAUUUCCAAUGACAAGGAGGUGCUUGGAGCUGGAGUUGAACCAGCAACCUUAGGAUCACAGCGUUUCACACAAGGAGCAUCUUACAGUCCACCGCUCUACCAACUGAGCUAUCAAGGUGCUCUCUAGUCACAAGUGCAGAAAACAUAGUGGCUUCUAAGACACACUAUGCCCACAGAACUAUUCCAACCCAUGGUCAAUGAAAAGCCCAGCCCUACCUGCAGAACAAAGCUUUGCAGUUUGUACCCAACAGUCAUUGCCAGGGACCCAGAACUGAUAAUCAGGACUUUUAGGCUGGGUGAAUAAAAAAUUGAUGGUUGAAAAUUUAAGAAAGAGUUAUCUUGUUUGUGUUUUGACAUUUUGGAGGAGUUGACAGAUAAAGACAAGGCUUGGGGGUAUUUCCAAUGACAAGGAGGUGCUUGGAGCUGGAGUUGAACCAGCGACCUUAGGAUCACAGCGUUUCACACAAGGAGCAUCUUACAGUCCACCGCUCUACCAACUGAGCUAUCAAGGUGCUCUCUAGUCACAAGUGCAGAAAACAUAGUGGCUUCGAAGACACACUAUGCCCACAGAACUAUUCCAACCCAUGGUCAAUGAAAAGCCCAGCCCUACCUGCAGAACAAAGCUUUGCAGUUUGUACCCAACAGUCAUUGCCAGGGACCCAGAACUGAUAAUCAGGACUUUUAGGCUGGGUGAAUAAAAAAUUGAUGGUUGAAAAUUUAAGAAAGAGUUAUCUUGUUUGUGUUUUGACAUUUUGGAGGAGUUGACAGAUAAAGACAAGGCUUGGGGGUAUUUCCAAUGACAAGGAGGUGCUUGGAGCUGGAGUUGAACCAGCGACCUUAGGAUCACAGCGUUUGACACAAGGAGCAUCUUACAGUCCACCGCUCUACCAACUGAGCUAUCAAGGUGCUCUCUAGUCACAAGUGCAGAAAACAUAGUGGCUUCGAAGACACACUAUGCCCACAGAACUAUUCCAACCCAUGGUCAAUGAAAAGCCCAGCCCUACCUGCAGAACAAAGCUUUGCAGUUUGUACCCAACAGUCAUUGCCAGGGACCCAGAACUGAUAAUCAGGACUUUUAGGCUGGGUGAAUAAAAAAUUGAUGGUUGAAAAUUUAAGAAAGAGUUAUCUUGUUUGUGUUUUGACAUUUUGGAGGAGUUGACAGAUAAAGACAAGGCUUGGGGGUAUUUCCAAUGACGUGCUUGGAGCUGGAGUUGAACCAGCGACCUUAGGAUCACAGCGUUUCACACAAGGAGCAACUUACAGUCCACCGCUCUACCAACUGAGCUAUCAAAGGUGCUCUCUAGUCACAAGUGCAGAAAACAUAGUGGCUUCGAAGACACACUAUGCCCACAGAACUAUUCCAACCCAUGGUCAAUGAAAAGCCCAGCCCUACCUGCAGAACAAAGCUUUGCAGUUUGUACCAACAGUCAUUGCCAGGGACCCAGAACUGAUAAUCAGGACUUUUAGGCUGGGUGAAUAAAAAAUUGAUGGUUGAAAAUUUAAGAAAGAGUUAUCUUGUUUGUGUUUUGACAUUUUGGAGGAGUUGACAGAUAAAGACAAGGCUUGGGGGUAUUUCCAAUGACGUGCUUGGAGCUGGAGUUGAACCAGCGACCUUAGGAUCACAGCGUUUCACACAAGGAGCAUCUUACAGUCCACCGCUCUACCAACUGAGCUAUCAAGGUGCUCUCUAGUCACAAGUGCAGAAAACAUAGUGGCUUCGAAGACACACUAUGCCCACAGAACUAUUCCAACCCAUGGUCAAUGAAAAGCCCAGCCCUACCUGCAGAACAAAGCUUUGCAGUUUGUACCCAACAGUCAUUGCCAGGGACCCAGAACUGAUAAUCAGGACUUUUAGGCUGGGUGAAUAAAAAAUUGAUGGUUGAAAAUUUAAGAAAGAGUUAUCUUGUUUGUGUUUUGACAUUUUGGAGGAGUUGACAGAUAAAGACAAGGCUUGGGGGUAUUUCCAAUGACGUGCUUGGAGCUGGAGUUGAACCAGCGACUUUAGGAUCACAGCGUUUCACACAAGGAGCAACUUACAGUCCACCGCUCUACCAACUGAGCUAUCAAGGUGCUCUCUAGUCACAAGUGCAGAAAACAUAGUGGCUUUGAAGACACACUAUGCCCACAGAACUAUUCCAACCCAUGGUCAAUGAAAAGCCCAGCCCUACCUGCAGAACAAAGCUUUGCAGUUUGUACCCAACAGUCAUUGCCAGGGACCCAGAACUGAUAAUCAGGACUUUUAGGCUGGGUGAAUAAAAAAUUGAUGGUUGAAAAUUUAAGAAAGAGUUAUCUUGUUUGUGUUUUGACAUUUUGGAGGAGUUGACAGAUAAAGACAAGGCUUGGGGGUAUUUCCAAUGACAAGGAGGUGCUUGGAGCUGGAGUUGAACCAGCGACCUUAGGAUCACAGCGUUUCACACAAGGAGCAUCUUACAGUCCACCGCUCUACCAACUGAGCUAUCAAGGUGCUCUCUAGUCACAAGUGCAGAAAACAUAGUGGCUUCGAAGACACACUAUGCCCACAGAACUAUUCCAACCCAUGGUCAAUGAAAAGCCCAGCCCUACCUGCAGAACAAAGCUUUGCAGUUUGUACCCAACAGUCAUUGCCAGGGACCCAGAACUGAUAAUCAGGACUUUUAGGCUGGGUGAAUAAAAAAUUGAUGGUUGAAAAUUUAAGAAAGAGUUAUCUUGUUUGUGUUUUGACAUUUUGGAGGAGUUGACAGAUAAAGACAAGGCUUGGGGGUAUUUCCAAUGACAAGGAGGUGCUUGGAGCUGGAGUUGAACCAGCGACCUUAGGAUCACAGCGUUUCACACAAGGAGCAUCUUACAGUCCACCGCUCUACCAACUGAGCUAUCAAGGUGCUCUCUAGUCACAAGUGCAGAAAACAUAGUGGCUUCGAAGACACACUAUGCCCACAGAACUAUUCCAACCCAUGGUCAAUGAAAAGCCCAGCCCUACCUGCAGAACAAAGCUUUGCAGUUUGUACCCAACAGUCAUUGCCAGGGACCCAGAACUGAUAAUCAGGACUUUUAGGCUGGGUGAAUAAAAAAUUGAUGGUUGAAAAUUUAAGAAAGAGUUAUCUUGUUUGUGUUUUGACAUUUUGGAGGAGUUGACAGAUAAAGACAAGGCUUGGGGGUAUUUCCAAUGACAAGGAGGUGCUUGGAGCUGGAGUUGAACCAGCGACCUUAGGAUCACAGCGUUUCACACAAGGAGCAACUUACAGUCCACCGCUCUACCAACUGAGCUAUCAAAGUGCUCUAUAGUCACAAGUGCAGAAAACAUAGUGGCUUCGAAGACACACUAUGCCCACAGAACUAUUCCAACCCAUGGUCAAUGAAAAGCCCAGCCCUACCUGCAGAACAAAGCUUUGCAGUUUGUACCCAACAGUCAUUGCCAGGGACCCAGAACUGAUAAUCAGGACUUUUAGGCUGGGUGAAUAAAAAAUUGAUGGUUGAAAAUUUAAGAAAGAGUUAUCUUGUUUGUGUUUUGACAUUUUGGAGGAGUUGACAGAUAAAGACAAGGCUUGGGGGUAUUUCCAAUGACAAGGAGGUGCUUGGAGCUGGAGUUGAACCAGCGACCUUAGGAUCACAGCGUUUCACACAAGGAGCAUCUUACAGUCCACCGCUCUACCAACUGAGCUAUCAAGGUGCUCUCUAGUCACAAGUGCAGAAAACAUAGUGGCUUCGAAGACACACUAUGCCCACAGAACUAUUCCAACCCAUGGUCAAUGAAAAGCCCAGCCCUACCUGCAGAACAAAGCUUUGCAGUUUGUACCCAACAGUCAUUGCCAGGGACCCAGAACUGAUAAUCAGGACUUUUAGGCUGGGUGAAUAAAAAAUUGAUGGUUGAAAAUUUAAGAAAGAGUUAUCUUGUUUGUGUUUUGACAUUUUGGAGGAGUUGACAGAUAAAGACAAGGCUUGGGGGUAUUUCCAAUGACGUGCUUGGAGCUGGAGUUGAACCAGCGACUUUAGGAUCACAGCGUUUCACACAAGGAGCAACUUACAGUCCACCGCUCUACCAACUGAGCUAUCAAGGUGCUCUCUAGUCACAAGUGCAGAAAACAUAGUGGCUUCGAAGACACACUAUGCCCAGAGAACUAUUCCAACCCAUGGUCAAUGAAAAGCCCAGCCCUACCUGCAGAACAAAGCUUUGCAGUUUGUACCAAACAGUCAUUGCCAGGGACCCAGAACUGAUAAUCAGGACUUUUAGGCUGGGUGAAUAAAAAAUUGAUGGUUGAAAAUUUAAGAAAGAGUUAUCUUGUUUGUGUUUUGACAUUUUGGAGGAGUUGACAGAUAAAGACAAGGCUUGGGGGUAUUUACAUUGACGUGCUUGAGCUGGAGUUGAACCAGCGACCUUAGGAUCACAGCGUUACACACAAGGAGCAUCUUACAGUCCACCGCUCUACCAACUGAGCUAUCAAAGUGCUCUAUAGUCACAAGUGCAGAAAACAUAGUGGCUUCGAAGACACACUAUGCCCACAGAACUAUUCCAACCCAUGGUCAAUGAAAAGCCCAGCCCUACCUGCAGAACAAAGCUUUGCAGUUUGUACCAAACAGUCAUUGCCAGGGACCCAGAACUGAUAAUCAGGACUUUUAGGCUGGGUGAAUAAAAAAUUGAUGGUUGAAAAUUUAAGAAAGAGUUAUCUUGUUUGUGUUUUGACAUUUUGGAGGAGUUGACAGAUAAAGACAAGGCUUGGGGGUAUUUCCAAUGACGUGCUUGGAGCUGGAGUUGAACCAGCGACCUUAGGAUCACAGCGUUUCACACAAGGAGCAUCUUACAGUCCACCGCUGUACCAACUGAGCUAUCAAGGUGCUCUCUAGUCACAAGUGCAGAAAACAUAGUGGCUUCGAAGACACACUAUGCCCACAGAACUAUUCCAACCCAUGGUCAAUGAAAAGCCCAGCCCUACCUGCAGAACAAAGCUUUGCAGUUUGUACCCAACAGUCAUUGCCAAGGACCCAGAACCGAUAUUCAGGACUUUUAGGCUGGGUGAAUAAAAAAUUGAUAUUUGGAAAGUUAUGCAGGAGUUAUCUUGUUUGUGUUUUUACAUUUUGAAGGAGUUGACAGAUGAAGACAAGGCUUGGCAUUAUUUCAAUGUGAUUACACCUAAAACAUUGCUCACACCAAUGAAAUGCACUG